UGAGGAAUAUUGGUCAAUGGGCGCAAGCCUGACCCAGCAACGCCGCGUGAAGGAAGAAGGCUUUCGGGUUGUAAACUUCUUUUCUCAGGGACGAAGCAAGUGACGGUACCUGAGGAAUAAGCCACGGCUAACUACGUGCC
rnacentral:rRNA from 1 species